rnacentral:tRNA from 1 species
AAUGGUUUACGGCGGCGGUAGCGCGGGUCCACCAGGCACAGCAGCCCGCCCAGCGCCAUCAGCAGCCCCCCGGCCC